GAGCCCGUAGCUUAGCCUGGUGGAGUGCACGACUGAUAAUCGUGUGGUCCGGGGUUCAAAUCCCCGCGGGCUCACCA
rnacentral:tRNA from 1 species